CGUAGGCGGUUUUGUAAGUCAGACGUGAAAUCCCCAGGCUUAACUUGGGAACUGCGUCUGAUACUGCAAAACUUGAGUGCGGGAGAGGGAUGUGGAAUUCCAGGUGUAGCGGUGAAAUGCGUAGAUAUCUGGAGGAACACCGGUGGCGAAGGCGGCAUCCUGGACCGACACUGACGCUGAGGCGCGAAAGCUAGGGAGCAAACG
rnacentral:rRNA from 1 species